rnacentral:rRNA from 1 species
GACGAACGCUGGCGGCGUGCUUAACACAUGCAAGUCGAACGGUAAGGCCCUUCGGGGUACACGAGUGGCGAACGGGUGAGUAACACGUGGGUGAUCUGCCCUGCACUUCGGGAUAAGCCUGGGAAACUGGGUCUAAUACCGGAUAGGACCACUGCCUGCAUGGGUGGUGGUGGAAAGCUUUUGCGGUGUGGGAUGGGCCCGCGGCCUAUCAGCUUGUUGGUGGGGUGAUGGCCUACCAAGGCGACGACGGGUAGCCGGCCUGAGAGGGUGACCGGCCACGCUGGGACUGAGCUACGGCCCAGACUCCUACGGGAGGCAGCAGUGGGGAAUAUUGCACAAUGGGCGCAAGCCUGAUGCAGCGACGCCGCGUGAGGGAUGACGGCCUUCGGGUUGUAAACCUCUUUCAGCACCGACGAAGCGCAAGUGACGGUAGGUGCAGAAGAAGGACCGGCCAACUACGUGCCAGCCGCCGCAGUAACAC